GUGCUCAAUUCGGUAGCACAUACACUAAAAUUGGAACAAUACGCAGAAGAUUAGCAUAGCCCCUGGACAAAGAUGUCACGCAAAUUCGUGAAGCAGUCCAUAUUUUU